CAUCUUGCUGUUGGGGGGCCAGGAGCGGCGGUUGUAGACAGCCCGCAAACCUUGACUCCCAUUUGCUGUUGGAGGGCAGCUCCUGGGGUGUAAACUCCCAGCACUUCCAGCCUGCCCUGUGCCCUGGCUUCUGGCAUGGCCCUCCUCCCAGAUUCAUGGGCACCAUCUCUGCACACCUGUUAGCUCAUACCUGGUCUUCUAUUCAUGUGUGAACAGAUACUCACGGCAGGCCUUCAUGUGCCAGACCAGGGUUCAGGGCAGCGAGGCAUACAUCCCUGCCUGCAGGAGGCUUACCCGCUUCAUCCGGAAGUUUCCGCAAAGCCAAGGAGUAUCUGAAAGCAUGGGGCAAGGAUGAGGAGGAGGUGCACAAAGGCCAGGCAGCACUGAGAUCUGACGGACUGGUGUCUGCUCAAGAGAAUUCAAACAGGCGCUCAGACAGAUGCCAUAGCAGCAUUAUCCACGAUAGCCAGAGGCUGGACACUACCAAGGGUCUGUCACUGAUGAACAGAUAAACAGCGUAGUCCAUGCAUCCCGUGUGGAAAGGAAAGACGUUCUGAGUCCCACCGCAGCCUGGCGUGGAAACCGUGAGGCAAUCAUAAAUAUGACGGCAUGUUGUGAUUCCAUCCUGGCGCCCAGAGAAGCAGCAAGGCCUUGUACACAGAGCUGGAGGGGUGCAAGAGGGAGCCUCCCUGGCCGGUCCCCGAGCUCGCCUAAACCACAGCCUGAGAUCCGGCAUGCCCUACGCACUGUCUGCUUCCUGUCCUGGAAUCUCUGUCAUCUGGAGGUGACAACCCACAGGCUCAGAAAGGCUGUGUAAUUUGCCCGAGACCACUCCGCUAGCAAGGGGCAGAGUCAGGACUGAACACAAAUCUUCAGAGCUCACUGCAGGCUUUCGCAAGUUCUUUACUUCUUAUUCAGUCAGGAGAUUCUGUAGCUGGCAUAACUACUUGUCAGCCAGACCCAUCUUCAGGUCAUCAGCAACCACACUUGCCGUCGGUUGACUGAAUGUGCUGAGCUUCGACAGUGGGGUCACGCGUCAGCCACACGGGUCAAGGGCACGUCGGUUUUGUUCCUCAUCGCAUUCCCAGCCCUGGCGUCACCUUUCUUGGAUGAUUCCUGAGUGAGCUGUUGAAUGUUCAGCGUGAAGGGUCUGGUUUGGGGACAGCAAGGGUGGGUGCGGAAGGGGUUGGAGCAAAAAGAAGAGCCUUGAUCCCACCCAGCUUCCCACCUGGUGAAGGGCAGAGACUCACUUCUGCUAGCCCAAGACAAGGCAUGUUCUUGCAUAAGGUGGAGCUCACAGAAGCUGUCAUGGGGUGGGAGAGUCA
rnacentral:lncRNA from 13 species